AACGAACGCUGGCGGCAUGCCUAACACAUGCAAGUCGAACGAGACCUCCGGGUCUUGUGGCGCAUGGGUGCGUAACGCGUGGGAACCUGCCCUUAGGUUCGGAAUAACUCCCCGAAAGGGGUGCUAAUACCGGAUAAUGUCUUCGGACCAAAGAUUUAUCGCGUUUGGAUGGGCCGGCAUUGGAUUAGCUAGUUGGUAGGGUAAAAGCCUACCAAGGCGAGGAUCCGUAGCUGGUCUGAGAGGAUGGUCAGCCACACUGGGACUGAGACACGGCCCAGACUCCUACGGGAGGCAGGAGUGGGGAAUAUAGGACAAUGGGCGAAGGCCUGAUGCAGCAAUGCCGCGUGAGUGAUGAAGGCCGUAGGGUUGUAAAGCUCUUUUACCCGGGAUGAUAAUGACGGUACCGGGAGAAUAAGCUCCGGCUAACUCCGUG
rnacentral:rRNA from 1 species